rnacentral:rRNA from 1 species
GGGUUGUGAGGUUAAGCGACUAAGCGUACACGGUGGAUGCCCUGGCAGUCAGAGGCGAUGAAGGGCGUGCUAAUCUGCGAUAAGCGCCGGUAAGGUGAUAUGAACCGUUAUAACCGGCGAUACCCGAAUGGGGAAACCCAGUGUGACUCGUCACACUAUCAUUAACUGAAUCCAUAGGUUAAUGAGGCGAACCGGGGGAACUGAAACAUCUAAGUACCCCGAGGAAAAGAAAUCAACCGAGAUUCCCCCAGUAGCGGCGAGCGAACGGGGAGGAGCCCAGAGCCUGAAUCAGCAUGUGUGUUAGUGGAAGCGUCUGGAAAGGCGCGCGAUACAGGGUGACAGCCCCGUACACAAAAGCGCAUGUGCUGUGAGCUCGAUGAGUAGGGCGGGACACGUGGUAUCCUGUCUGAAUAUGGGGGGACCAUCCUCCAAGGCUAAAUACUCCUGACUGACCGAUAGUGAACCAGUACCGUGAGGGAAAGGCGAAAAGAACCCCGGCGAGGGGAGUGAAAAAGAACCUGAAACCGUGUACGUACAAGCAGUGGGAGCNNNNNNNNNNNNNNNNNNNNNNNNNNNNNNNNNNNNNNNNNGGGCGUUAAGUUGCAGGGUAUAGACCCGAAACCCGGUGAUCUAGCCAUGGGCAGGUUGAAGGUUGGGUAACACUAACUGGAGGACCGAACCGACUAAUGUUGAAAAAUUAGCGGAUGACCUGUGGCUGGGGGUGAAAGGCCAAUCAAACCGGGAGAUAGCUGGUUCUCCCCGAAAGCUAUUUAGGUAGCGCCUCGUGAAUUCAUCUCCGGGGGUAGAGCACUGUUUCGGCUAGGGGGCCAUCCCGGCUUACCAACCCGAUGCAAACUGCGAAUACCGGAGAAUGUUAUCACGGGAGACACACGGCGGGUGCUAACGUCCGUCGUGAAGAGGGAAACAACCCAGACCGCCAGCUAAGGUCCCAAAGUCAUGGUUAAGUGGGAAACGAUGUGGGAAGGCCCAGACAGCCAGGAUGUUGGCUUAGAAGCAGCCAUCAUUUAAAGAAAGCGUAAUAGCUCACUGGUCGAGUCGGCCUGCGCGGAAGAUGUAACGGGGCUAAACCAUGCACCGAAGCUGCGGCAGCGANNGCUGGAGGUAUCAGAAGUGCGAAUGCUGACAUAAGUAACGAUAAAGCGGGUGAAAAGCCCGCUCGCCGGAAGACCAAGGGUUCCUGUCCAACGUUAAUCGGGGCAGGGUGAGUCGACCCCUAAGGCGAGGCCGAAAGGCGUAGUCGAUGGGAAACGGGUUAAUAUUCCCGUACUUGGUGUUACUGCGAAGGGGGGACGGAGAAGGCUAUGUUGGCCGGGCGACGGUUGUCCCGGUUUAAGCGUGUAGGUGUGUGUUCCAGGUAAAUCCGGUUCACUUUAACACUGAGGCGUGACGACGAGGCACUACGGUGCUGAAGCAACAAAUGCCCUGCUUCCAGGAAAAGCCUCUAAGCAUCAGGUAACAUCAAAUCGUACCCCAAACCGACACAGGUGGUCAGGUAGAGAAUACCAAGGCGCUUGAGAGAACUCGGGUGAAGGAACUAGGCAAAAUGGUGCCGUAACUUCGGGAGAAGGCACGCUGACACGUAGGUGAAGUGAUUUACUCAUGGAGCUGAAGUCAGUCGAAGAUACCAGCUGGCUGCAACUGUUUAUUAAAAACACAGCACUGUGCAAACACGAAAGUGGACGUAUACGGUGUGACGCCUGCCCGGUGCCGGAAGGUUAAUUGAUGGGGUCAGCGCAAGCGAAGCUCCUGAUCGAAGCCCCGGUAAACGGCGGCCGUAACUAUAACGGUCCUAAGGUAGCGAAAUUCCUUGUCGGGUAAGUUCCGACCUGCACGAAUGGCGUAAUGAUGGCCAGGCUGUCUCCACCCGAGACUCAGUGAAAUUGAACUCGCUGUGAAGAUGCAGUGUACCCGCGGCAAGACGGAAAGACCCCGUGAACCUUUACUAUAGCUUGACACUGAACAUUGAGCCUUGAUGUGUAGGAUAGGUGGGAGGCUUUGAAGUGUGGACGCCAGUCUGCAUGGAGCCGACCUUGAAAUACCACCCUUUAAUGUUUGAUGUUCUAACGUGGACCCGUUACCCGGGUUGCGGACAGUGUCUGGUGGGUAGUUUGACUGGGGCGGUCUCCUCCUAAAGAGUAACGGAGGAGCACGAAGGUUGGCUAAUCCUGGUCGGACAUCAGGAGGUUAGUGCAAUGGCAUAAGCCAGCUUGACUGCGAGCGUGACGGCGCGAGCAGGUGCGAAAGCAGGUCAUAGUGAUCCGGUGGUUCUGAAUGGAAGGGCCAUCGCUCAACGGAUAAAAGGUACUCCGGGGAUAACAGGCUGAUACCGCCCAAGAGUUCAUAUCGACGGCGGUGUUUGGCACCUCGAUGUCGGCUCAUCACAUCCUGGGGCUGAAGUAGGUCCCAAGGGUAUGGCUGUUCGCCAUUUAAAGUGGUACGCGAGCUGGGUUUAGAACGUCGUGAGACAGUUCGGUCCCUAUCUGCCGUGGGCGCUGGAGAACUGAGGGGGGCUGCUCCUAGUACGAGAGGACCGGAGUGGACGCAUCACUGGUGUUCGGGUUGUCAUGCCAAUGGCACUGCCCGGUAGCUAAAUGCGGAAGAGAUAAGUGCUGAAAGCAUCUAAGCACGAAACUUGCCCCGAGAUGAGUUCUCCCUGAGACUUAGAGUCUCCUGAAGGAACGUUGAAGACGACGACGUUGAUAGGCCGGGUGUGUAAGCGCAGCGAUGCGUUGAGCUAACCGGUACUAAUGAACCGUGAGGCUUAACCUUACAACGCCGAAG